GGCGGCGUGCCUAACACAUGCAAGUCGAGCGAGAAAGUCUCCUUCGGGAGGCGAGUAAAGCGGCGGACGGGUGAGUAACACGUGGAUGAUCUGUCUUUGAGUGGGGAAUAACUUGGGGAAACUCGAGCUAAUACCGCAUACGCUCGCAUGGUUGCGACCAUGCGAGGAAAGUUGGCCUCUUCAUGAAAGCUGACGCUCUUAGAGGAGUCCGCGCCUGAUUAGCUAGUUGGUGGGGUAAUGGCCUACCAAGGCGACGAUCAGUAGCCGGCCUGAGAGGGUGAUCGGCCACACUGGGACUGAGACACGGCCCAGACUCCUACGGGAGGCAGCAGUGGGGAAUAUUGGACAAUGGGGGCAACCCUGAUCCAGCAACGCCGCGUGGAGGAUGAAGGCCUUCGGGUCGUAAACUUCUGUCAGUAGGGACGAAAAGCCGUUGGUCAAUAGCCUGCGGUCAUGACGGUACCUGCAGAGGAAGCCCCGGCUAACUCCGUG
rnacentral:rRNA from 1 species